rnacentral:rRNA from 1 species
AUACCGCAUAACGUCGCAAGACCAAAGAGGGGGACCUUCGGGCCUCUUGCCAUCAGAUGUGCCCAGAUGGGAUUAGCUUGUUGGUGAGGUAACGGCUCACCAAGGCGACGAUCCCUAGCUGGUCUGAGAGGAUGACCAGCCACACUGGAACUGAGACACGGUCCAGACUCCUACGGGAGGCAGCAGUGGGGAAUAUUGCACAAUGGGCGCAAGCCUGAUGCAGCCAUGCCGCGUGUAUGAAGAAGGCCUUCGGGUUGUAAAGUACUUUCAGCGGGGAGGAAGGUGUUGUGGUUAAUAACCACAGCAAUUGACGUUACCCGCAGAAGAAGCACCGGCUAACUCCGUGCCAGCAGCCGCGGUAAUACGGAGGGUGCAAGCGUUAAUCGGAAUUACUGGGCGUAAAGCGCACGCAGGCGGUCUGUCAAGUCGGAUGUGAAAUCCCCGGGCUCAACCUGGGAACUGCAUUCGAAACUGGCAGGCUUGAGUCUUGUAGAGGGGGGUAGAAUUCCAGGUGUAGCGGUGAAAUGCGUAGAGAUCUGGAGGAAUACCGGUGGCGAAGGCGGCCCCCUGGACAAAGACUGACGCUCAGGUGCGAAAGCGUGGGGAGCAAACAGGAUUAGAUACCCUGGUAGUCCACGCCGUAAACGAUGUCUACUUGGAGGUUGUGCCCUUGAGGCGUGGCUUCCGGAGCUAACGCGUUAAGUAGACCGCCUGGGGAGUACGGCCGCAAGGUUAAAACUCAAAUGAAUUGACGGGGGCCCGCACAAGCGGUGGAGCAUGUGGUUUAAUUCGAUGCAACGCGAAGAACCUUACCUGGUCUUGACAUCCACAGAACUUUCCAGAGAUGGAUUGGUGCCUUCGGGAACUGUGAGACAGGUGCUGCAUGGCUGUCGUCAGCUCGUGUUGUGAAAUGUUGGGUUAAGUCCCGCAACGAGCGCAAC